rnacentral:tRNA from 1 species
CCUGUAGCUCAAUGGAAAGAGUAGCUGGCUACGAACCAGUUGGUUGUGGGUUCGAGUCCCUCUAG